GGGGACGUAGCUCCAUGGUAGAGUGUUUGCCUAUCCCAUGCAAAGUCCCGGGUUCAAUUCCCAACGACACCA
rnacentral:tRNA from 1 species